CCAGGUUGACCAGCCUUCCGGGUUCCUUGUCCACCCCUCCCUGCUGGUGAGGACAAUGGGCGGCUUCCAACAGCUUUU